GCCGAUGUAGCUCAAUGGUAGAGCCCCGCUUUCGUAAAGCUGAGGUUGAGGGUUCAACUCCCUCCAUCGACU
rnacentral:tRNA from 1 species